rnacentral:rRNA from 1 species
AGGACGAACGCUGGCGGCGUGCUUAACACAUGCAAGUCGAGCGGAAAGGCCCUUCGGGGUACUCGAGCGGCGAACGGGUGAGUAACACGUGAGCAACCUGCCCCUUAGCUUCGGGAUAGCUCCGGGAAACCCGGAAUUAAUACCGAAUAUGACUGCGGCUGACAUCAGCCACGGGUGGAAAAGUUUUUCGGCUAGGGAUGGACUCGCGGCCUAUCAGCUAGUUGGUGAGGUAACGGCCCACCAAGGCGACGACGGGUA